rnacentral:rRNA from 2 species
UAGGGAAUCUUCCGCAAUGGACGAAAGUCUGACGGAGCAACGCCGCGUGAGUGAUGAAGGUUUUCGGAUCGUAAAACUCUGUUGUUAGGGAAGAACAAGUACCGGAGUAACUGCCGGUACCUUGACGGUACCUAACCAGAAAGCCACGGCUAACUACGUGCCAGCAGCCGCGGUAAUACGUAGGUGGCAAGCGUUGUCCGGAAUUAUUGGGCGUAAAGCGCGCGCAGGCGGUCCUUUAAGUCUGAUGUGAAAGCCCACGGCUCAACCGUGGAGGGUCAUUGGAAACUGGGGGACUUGAGUACAGAAGAGAAGAGUGGAAUUCCACGUGUAGCGGUGAAAUGCGUAGAGAUGUGGAGGAACACCAGUGGCGAAGGCGACUCUUUGGUCUGUAACUGACGCUGAGGCGCGAAAGCGUGGGGAGCAAACAGG